AUUUCUGCUUAUCAACUCUCUCCCUCUCACAUCUCUUCUCUGUGUUUGCUUCAUCUCUCUUUCAAACCAGAUAAAUAAAUAAAACCUUUAUUCAUAUCCCAUAAAUCUUUAAUCUUUUUCACAUCUGAUUUAUUAUUUCUUCAUCUUUAGAUCAAAAAGCUCCAAUCUUUCACUCUUAACACAACUUACAAUAAAGAACCUUUAUUUACUUGCUUCAAAAAUCAUAUCAUCUUCAUAACAAAGCCAGAAUCUUUUUCAUGGAUUUUCAAAUGAUUUAUUUUAUUUGUUAAUGAUUGCUAUAUUGUUUCAGAAAUGGGUAUUUGUUAAAGAUUCAAAUGGUGGUUUAGCUUCAUUUGAUCUCACCACAGUUUGUUCAAGAUUUCGUACUGUUUAAGUAUUUGAACAAUGGGUAAGGUUAACAAGGGGAAAUCAAAGAAAAGUUCGAUUGUUGCUCAUCGUGAAGAUGGAAGCGGGGAAGAAGAAAAGCUACCUACCAAGCGUAGUAGAGGAAGACCCACAAAGGCACAAAAGGAAGAAGAGUCUGAAAGGGUCAGUGAAAAUGAUGACACGAAACUUGAAGCUCCGUUAGAGAACGUAAACAAGAAAAAGAAACCGUCUGUAUCAACCAAAGAAAGCCUGGCAAAUGAUGAAAACGGUGUGGGGCCCACAAAAAACGAUUGUGGUCUAACAAAAUCUGUGGGGUUUAGACAUAAUGGAAGCAGGCGAAAGAACAAGCCACGGAGGGCAGCUGAAGUCGGGGUCAGUGUGUGUGAAGUAUGCAGUUGGUUAGUCCUCAGAAGCUGAGGAUAUUCGAUCUGAUUUCGGGUCUGGGCAAUGAUAUGAUAGGUAAGAGUUAUUUUUGUAUGGCAUUUUAUUAACUUUUGUAAUGCUUAGAAAUGUAAUGUUACUAGACUUAUGAUCUACAUUGAGAAUUUUGGCAGCAGAUUUAUCAUUAACCAAUUUUUGGUAAAACCAUAUUCAUUCA